rnacentral:rRNA from 1 species
CUACGGGAGGCAGCAGUGGGGAAUAUUGGACAAUGGGCGAAAGCCUGAUCCAGCCAUGCCGCGUGUGUGAAGAAGGCCUUCGGGUUGUAAAGCACUUUCAGUGGGGAAGAAAGCCUUGGGGCUAAUACCCUCGAGGAAGGACAUCACCCACAGAAGAAGCACCGGCUAACUCCGUGCCAGCAGCCGCGGUAAUACGGAGGGUGCGAGCGUUAAUCGGAAUUACUGGGCGUAAAGCGCGCGUAGGCGGUCUGAUAAGCCGGUUGUGAAAGCCCCGGGCUCAACCUGGGAACGGCAUCCGGAACUGUCAGGCUAGAGUGCAGGAGAGGAAGGUAGAAUUCCCGGUGUAGCAGUGAAAUGCGUAGAGAUCGGGAGGAAUACCAGUGGCGAAGGCGGCCUUCUGGACUGACACUGACGCUGAGGUGCGAAAGCGUGGGUAGCAAACAGGAUUAGAUACCCUAGUAGUC